rnacentral:rRNA from 1 species
CCUACGGGAGGCUGCAGUGGGGAAUAUUGCACAAUGGGCGCAAGCCUGAUGCAGCCAUGCCGCGUGUGUGAAGAAGGCCUUCGGGUUGUAAAGCACUUUCAGCGGGGAGGAAGGCGGUGAGGUUAAUAACCUCAUCGAUUGACGUUACCCGCAGAAGAAGCACCGGCUAACUCCGUGCCAGCAGCCGCGGUAAUACGGAGGGUGCAAGCGUUAAUCGGAAUUACUGGGCGUAAAGCGCACGCAGGCGGUCUGUCAAGUCGGAUGUGAAAUCCCCGGGCUCAACCUGGGAACUGCAUUCGAAACUGGCAGGCUAGAGUCUUGUAGAGGGGGGUAGAAUUCCAGGUGUAGCGGUGAAAUGCGUAGAGAUCUGGAGGAAUACCGGUGGCGAAGGCGGCCCCCUGGACAAAGACUGACGCUCAGGUGCGAAAGCGUGGGGAGCAAACAGGUUUAGAUACCUUGUAGUC